AUAUGUAUCUUUUAUAGAAAUACAUUUUAACAUGUGUACUUGUGUUAUUUCAGCAAUGUUUGGGUGUUUUAAUUAUUCCUGUAACCCACCUUGAGGAGAAGCAGAAAGGAAGGAAGGAAGAUCUGAAGUUUAUGGAUACUGCAAGGAGCUACAGAGUUCAAAAACACGAGUGCUUGCU
rnacentral:lncRNA from 1 species